rnacentral:rRNA from 1 species
AGGAUGCGAGCGUUAUCCGGAUUUAUUGGGUUUAAAGGGAGCGUAGGCCGCCGAUUAAGCGUGUUGUGAAAUGCCGCAGCUCAACUGUGGCACUGCAGCGCGAACUGGUUGGCUUGAGUGCGCGGAAGGCAGGCGGAAUUUGUGGUGUAGCGGUGAAAUGCUUAGAUAUCACGAAGAACCCCGAUUGCGAAGGCAGCUUGCCGCAGCGUAACUGACGCUGAAGCUCGAAAGUGCGGGUAUCGA